rnacentral:rRNA from 1 species
GACGUAGGGCGCGAGCGUUGUCCGGAAUUAUUGGGCGUAAAGAGCUCGUAGGCGGUUUGUCGCGUCUGCUGUGAAAGACCGGGGCUCAACUCCGGUUCUGCAGUGGGUACGGGCAGACUAGAGUGCAGUAGGGGAGACUGGAAUUCCUGGUGUAGCGGUGAAAUGCGCAGAUAUCAGGAGGAACACCGAUGGCGAAGGCAGGUCUCUGGGCUGUAACUGACGCUGAGGAGCGAAAGCAUGGGGAGCGAACAGG